UACAGAGGUCCCAAGCGUUUGUUCGGAUUCAUUGGGCGUAAAGGGUGCGUAGGCCGCGCCGUAAGUCGGAUGUGAAAUCUCGGGGCUCAACCCUGAAACUGCAUUCGAUACUGCGGGUCUCGAGUCCGGGAGAGGUGAGUGGAAUUCCUAGUGUAGAGGUGAAAUUCGUAGAUAUUAGGAAGAACACCAGUGGCGAAGGCGGCUCACUGGCCCGAAACUGACGCUGAGGCACGAAAGCGUGGGGAGCAAACAGG
rnacentral:rRNA from 1 species